GGUUUAGUCUCUAAUAGUUUAGU
rnacentral:snRNA from 1 species